rnacentral:misc_RNA from 1 species
GAGUGGUGUUUGGUUUGAUACGGGUGGUUGGCUCCCUGCUCGAGCAGGCACGGCCACACGUACAUUCCUUUUCAGUUGUGCGGCAAGGCUUGUAUCGUCUUGAUCGUAUAUGUGGGUUUCCUGUGUUGCAUACCUCAUCAACGGCAUCGUUUUGAUAAAAAACAUACCUUUUUCGUCAGGCGUUGCACCCGCAAUGUCGGAUGAACCAUGCAGCAUCCUCUUUGAUCCAUAUAGUCGAUGAGCGUUCAUUGAUUGUUUGGCCCGUUGAGGGUGCCUUGGUCUCUCGGAUAUGGAAGCGAUAGUGGGCAUGGGUUCGUAUGAUCCUUUUAUUGCCCUCGUUGAGCGUUCUCGCUUCUCUUACACGACUGCCUUCACGUGUGGCACGUCCCAUCGUGUUUGGCUACGUCGAAGAGGAAUGCUACCUGGUUGAUCCUGCCAGUAGUCAUAU